rnacentral:rRNA from 1 species
GAGACACGGCCCAGACUCCUACGGGAGGCAGCAGUGGGGAAUAUUGCACAAUGGGCGCAAGCCUGAUGCAGCAACGCCGCGUGAGGGACGACGGCCUUCGGGUUGUAAACCUCUUUUAGCAGGGAAGAAGCGAAAGUGACGGUACCUGCAGAAAAAGCGCCGGCUAACUACGUGCCAGCAGCCGCGGUAAUACGUAGGGCGCAAGCGUUAUCCGGAAUUAUUGGGCGUAAAGAGCUCGUAGGCGGUUUGUCGCGUCUGCUGUGAAAUCCCGAGGCUCAACCUCGGGCCUGCAGUGGGUACGGGCAGACUAGAGUGCGGUAGGGGAGAUUGGAAUUCCUGGUGUAGCGGUGGAAUGCGCAGAUAUCAGGAGGAACACCGAUGGCGAAGGCAGAUCUCUGGGCCGUAACUGACGCUGAGGAGCGAAAGGGUGGGGAGCAAACAGGCUUAGAUACCCUGGUAGUCCACCCCGUAAACGUUGGGAACUAGUUGUGGGGUCCAUUCCACGGAUUCCGUGACGCAGCUAACGCAUUAAGUUCCCCGCCUGGGGAGUACGGCCGCAAGGCUAAAACUCAAAGGAAUUGACGGGGACCCGCACAAGCGGCGGAGCAUGCGGAUUAAUUCGAUGCAACGCGAAGAACCUUACCAAGGCUUGACAUAUACGAGAACGGGCCAGAAAUGGUCAACUCUUUGGACACUCGUAAACAGGUGGUGCAUGGUUGUCGUCAGCUCGUGUCGUGAGAUGUUGGGUUAAGUCCCGCAACGAGCGCAACCCUCGUUCUAUGUUGCCAGCACGUAAUGGUGGGAACUCAUGGGAUACUGCCGGGGUCAACUCGGAGGAAGGUGGGGAUGACGUCAAAUCAUCAUGCCCCUUAUGUCUUGGGCUUCACGCAUGCUACAAUGGCCGGUACAAAGGGCUGCAAUACCGCGAGGUGGAGCGAAUCCCAAAAAGCCGGUCCCAGUUCGGAUUGAGGUCUGCAACUCGACCUCAUGAAGUCGGAGUCGCUAGUAAUCGCAGA